AUACGGAGGGUGCAAGCGUUAUCCGGAAUCAUUGGGUUUAAAGGGUCCGUAGGCGGACUAUUAAGUCAGAGGUGAAAUCCCACAGCUCAACUGUGGAACUGCCUUUGAUACUGGUAGUCUAGAGUUAUAUGGAAGUAGAUAGAAUGUGUAGUGUAGCGGUGAAAUGCAUAGAUAUUACACAGAAUACCGAUUGCGAAGGCAGUCUACUACGUAUAUACUGACGCUAAGGGACGAAAGCGUGGGGAGCGAACAGGAUUAGAAACCCCAGUAGUCC
rnacentral:rRNA from 1 species